rnacentral:misc_RNA from 1 species
AGCUUUUGAAGGAGCAAUCAAAGAAGCAUUUGAAAAGCUGGUUUCGGAAGGUAAAACAACUCCUGUAAAGGAAAUAACGCCUCCACAAAUUCCUGAGGAUCUCAACACAGCAAUUAAGAGCGGGAAAGUUCGGGCCCCAACACAUAUUAUUUCCACGAUAUCUGAUGAUAGAGGUGAAGAGCCAUGCUACGCUGGUGUACCCAUGUCAUCUAUUGUGGAGCAAGGAUUAGGUGUCGGUGAUGUCAUUUCUCUAUUGUGGUUCAAACGCAGCCUCCCCCGUUAUUGUACACGUUUUAUUGAGAUUUGCACUCUGUUGUGUGCUGACCAUGGUCCCUG